UACGUAGGGUGCAAGCGUUGCCCGGAAUUACUGGGCGUAAAGAGCUCGUAGGUGGUUUGUCGCGUUGUCCGUGAAAACUCACAACUCAAUUGUGGGCGUGCGGGCGAUACGGGCAGACUGGAGUACUGCAGGGGAGACUGGAAUUCCUGGUGUAGCGGUGGAAUGCGCAGAUAUCAGGAGGAACACCGGUGGCGAAGGCGGGUCUCUGGGCAGUAACUGACGCUGAGGAGCGAAAGCGUGGGGAGCGAACAGG
rnacentral:rRNA from 1 species